AGGUAAACAAGCAAGUUCCACGCCCCAGUCCUGCUGGGGCCUUCGCCAGCCACCGCUCUGGGCUCAUCUCCCGGCGCCUCCUCGGGGCACCUGAGUGUUUUAAGCCCACUGCCAAGUGUUUUGGACACAGGUUUUUUUGCGGGGUGGUGAGGUUGGGCACAAGAUGCUUCCUAAAAGGUUGUUGGCACGCAGACCAUGGCCCCAGUGACGGCGCGGCAGGCAGGGGCUUGGAGGAACACGCUGUCUUUGUCUCGUCCCCAAAGCACCCGGCCGUGGGUCACCCGUGAUCCCUGGAGUGGAGGGACUGUUGUCACCCCUGGUGCUCCAGGAGAAGAGGUUCCAUGCUGGGUCCCGGGCCCAGGCCCACGGUGCCCUCAGCCCGCAGUUCUUCACCUUGCGGAAUGAUUUGCUGGCCCGGCCCAGCGCCCCGGCACCACCAUUUUCUGCCCUCUUUUCCCUGCCUGGCUUCAAACCCUCCCAGGCCAGGGUCCUGAGGAGACACCUGGGCUGGGGGAGGCAACUGAGUGGCCCCAGGCCUGGGAAUCUGCAAAAGUGGCCAAGCCACAUCUCUCGAGACUGCAAGGGCCCUGGAGGCGCUGGGAGGCACAGAUCUGGCUGCCAGCUGGGCCUGAGGCCUCCCUUUGUCCGUCCUUCUUGUCCUUCCUCACCAGACAUGAUCCUCUCUGAGGUUGGUCCCGGGCUUCCAUACGUGAUUCAUGGAAGAGGUCUCAGCCCCAAGAGCCCCUGAGGGUACUGUCCACUCCCCCUGGAAACUUCCAGAACCUGACGUGGGGCUGAAGACAUAGAGGUAAUGGGGGUGGGCUGGUGGGGCGCUGGCUGGGACAAUGUGUGGAGCCCUUGUUUUCAGAGCUACAGAUGCUUGUCAGCUGACAGUCCGUUUCCAGCAUCCACAGUGGACCUCCUUUGGGGGAGCAUUUACCUGCCAAUGAACCCCAAGAUCCUUUCUCAGAGGCGGCGGGAUGAAGUUUUCCUUUUUUUUUUUUUUUAGUUUAUAUAUUUUAUUUAAACCAAUAUAUCCAAAAUAUUAUCAGUUCAACAUAUGAUCCAGAUAAAGAUUAAUGAGAUACUUUAUAUUUUCAUACUAAAUCUUUUUUAAAUUUUUGUGAGUACAUAGUAGGUAUAAACAUUUAGGGAUGAAGUUUCUUACUGUGUUUUCCCAGUAACAAGCACUGGCAUCAGCUGUCAUGAUUUCUCCCCAAGGCCUAGGAUGGUCAGCCUCGCACGCUCCACCGCAGAGUGACUGAAGCUCUAUCGAGGUGUGGCACGAGCGUGUUGUCAUUUCAAGAGAAUCUGCAGCCUCCCUGGUUUUUAAUGAACGCUCCUAUGCAGGGCCUGGCCCUUUCCUGGGGAGGGAAGCCUGGCUGUGUCUCCCGCUGCAUCCUCACUGGGAACUUCAUUCCUGAGCCGCGACCGCUAUUUUUUGGAUUGGAAAAUGCCUUGGGAACGGCUCAUCUUCCUGCGGCUUGAGCCCAUUUGUUUUCUGACUGGUGGUCACUGGUGAUUAGAGUGUGUCCCAAAGGGAACUGUCACCUUAGUUCUAUCAUACGCUAUCAAUAACUUGUCCAGGGCUGACUUUGUGGCUGUGCGGCCUGCCCAGUGGUAGAGGGCCGGUGUGCUGAAGGGCCCCACACUCAAUGUUUGGCUGUCCCCGAUCUUAAAAUUCUUAGUCAUUCUUGAACAAGGGAACCCAUAUUUUCAUUUUGUUCUAGGCUCUGAGAGUUACAUAAUUGAUUCUGACUUUGGCUGUUAGUCAACAGUGUCAUAAGGUAAAAUAAGGCUGUUGUAGAAUCUGCUCAGCCAGGGAGGGGAAAGGAGUCGGCAAUCAGGUCUCCUCCUGGGCACCUUUGUGAGGCCAGCUGGCGAGAGUGGGGGGUGACACUGAGGUCCCAGCAGCUCCAAAUGCAGGCAGAGCCCUGUCCUCAGAGAAGGUCACAGCCUAGCCAAGCCCAGCCAGGUGGAUGGGCCCACGGAACGCACAGGAACCUGGAACGGAGGUUGAAAGCAGGAAGCACAGUCUGUGACUCCCCAGCCCACUCUUCAUUCGACCACUUGGGGCCCAGAAGCUUCAGGAAAGGUGCACAAGGUCACUGGGUCCCAGUACGCCAAACAGGAAGGUCUGGUCCAGGGACAGGGCUCUUCCCGACUCCCCUUAGCCACGCGCACCAGAAGUUCUGCAGUGCCCAGUGGGCAUAGCAGUCCCCAAGAAUGACCCAGCACUGAAGCUGAGCCAAAGAACUUGGGGAGCGAGCCACACCCCCUCACUCCCUCUUCGUCUGCUCCAGACUUGCCAGGCGGUUGCUUUUCGUGGGAACCGGGAUGUCCUCACCACCCUGUCCAGGGCUGAGCCCCAUGUCCCUGGCCUGCUACAGCUGGAAAAAAAAAAAAGAGAUAUGUUUGUUUUUAUUUGCUUAUAAAAAGAAAAGUGUUAUAUAUAUAACAUAUUAUACCUCAUGAAUAAAUACAAUUAUUUGUCAAUUAACAAUAAAGAAAAAUAUAGCAAGCAAAAAAGACUCCUCUUCCACAAAAAUAGUGUUCAUUACAGAAAAAUACAAAAAAAAAAAAAACUAAGAGGAUAUUUAGAAUUAAGAAAA
rnacentral:sRNA from 1 species